rnacentral:rRNA from 1 species
GACGAACCACACGAACGUUAUUCGGAAUCACUGGGCGUAAAGCGCACGUAGGCGGAUCUUUAAGUCAGGGGUGAAAUCCUGGAGCUCAACUCCAGAACUGCCUUUGAUACUGGGGAUCUCGAGUCCGGAAGAGGUGAGUGGAACUCCGAGUGUAGAGGUGAAAUUCGUAGAUAUUCGCAAGAACACCAGUGGCGAAGGCGGCUCACUGGCCCGGUACUGACGCUGAGGUGCGAAAGCGUGGGGAGCAAACAGG